rnacentral:rRNA from 1 species
CUCCUGCGGGAGGCAGCAGUGGGGAAUAUUGGACAAUGGGCGCAAGCCUGAUCCAGCCAUGCCGCGUGAGUGAUGAAGGCCCUAGGGUUGUAAAGCUCUUUUGUGCGGGAAGAUAAUGACGGUACCGCAAGAAUAAGCCCCGGCUAACUUCGUGCCAGCAGCCGCGGUAAUACGAAGGGGGCUAGCGUUGCUCGGAAUCACUGGGCGUAAAGGGUGCGUAGGCGGGUCUUUAAGUCAGGGGUGAAAUCCUGGAGCUCAACUCCAGAACUGCCUUUGAUACUGAAGAUCUUGAGUUCGGGAGAGGUGAGUGGAACUGCGAGUGUAGAGGUGAAAUUCGUAGAUAUUCGCAAGAACACCAGUGGCGAAGGCGGCUCACUGGCCCGAUACUGACGCUGAGGCACGAAAGCGUGGGGAGCAAACAGGAUUAGAUACCCCAGUAGUCCCAUGA